CUCUUUGUUGCAUUGCAUUUGGACUAUGCUCUAGCUAUCAUCUGUGUCCUUACUAAAGCAUUUCCUGCUUUGUAAGUGUCAGUGUAUUCUUGUGUAUUAGUAUCCGUGACUCUGCAAUGCAGUGUGAGCAGUGGGGUGAUGAUCAAAACCCAUGGAUUGUGUCAUUUUGGGUGAAGAACAGUACACCUGUGACCCGGCUGUGCUCAGGAGCAUAAACAUUCAACACAGCUUCUUAUUUCAUCAAGCUGAACCUGCUGAUGAAGACUUCUUCCUACAGCUAUGGGAGGCAUUGCAAUUGCAGGCUCUUCUCCUGCUGGGAGACUUCAACCACCCUAACAUCUCCUGGAAAAGUAGCACAGCAAGCUGUAGGCAAUCCAGAACUCUCCAGGAAUCUAUCAAGGAUAACCUCUUGAACCAAGUAAAAGACAGGGAAUUGGAUAGGAUGACCUUUAAAGAUCUGUUCCAACUCAAACAAUUAUAUGGUUCUAUGAUUAUAUGUUUAACACCUCAAUUCUUUUACAACUAUUUUGCACCUUAUCGAUUGCAGAUUAACAGUAGGAGUUCUCCUUUUAUUGAUAUAUUUUCCUGUCUCAACUUUAUGAACCAGUAUGAAAUUCUCCCAUUUACAUCUCUUGUGUGGUGUCCUUUGCACUUGUUUUACUAUAACAGAUUGCAUUUCUCUAACUUCCAGAUCAAGUUAACUGAAGCUACGUGUAUAUUUCUGUGUAUUAAAUCCUAAUUCCCUUUUUGUAUUACAUUUACUACAUUUUCUAUAUCUUUAUCAAAUUAGCAAUCUGAUUGAAGAUUCUGUCAUCAGCUUAAUUUUCUAAAGUGCUGUUAAACAUGACACAUUUGUUUUGUCUCUAUACUUGAGUUUCAGUUCACAGAAAACUUUAACUCUCUAUUUGUUCUCUAUUAUAUUCACAUUACAUCUUUAAGAAGAAAUUAUGAAAAAUAACAGUGAAUACUGUUGAUUAUAAAGAAGUUGUUCCUAAUGACUCUCUACAAGGACAUAUUUACAGAUUACUCAAGCUGUAGACACCUCAAGUGGGCUGUAAUGUAAGAAUCACAUCAUCUGACAUUUGACGCUACUAUGGUACCUAUAAUAUCAACUUCAUCAUACACGGAAGUGUGUAUAGUAAGUCUUCUAGCAAAACUUCCUGGUUUAUAAUCAGUAAAAAGAAUGAACUGCCUCUGAAGAAGGUUCAGCACACCUGAGUUAGUCCUGACUCUGAGUCAUCUAUUAAAUUAUAUUUCUAAAAUUAGUUAGGGUAAAUACUAAGAGCAAGAUUUCCAGAAGAUGACUGUAUUUGCAAACAUUUACAGAAUAUUUAAGGCUCUCAGAGAGGUCUGAAGGCUAUGAGAACAUAAUCUGAAAAGAGAACAAGAUAGAUUAUUCUAAAGAAGACAGUCUCAUUAUAUUCUGCUAGUAGUGGAUGAGGGAAAAAAAAAAACAAAAAACAGUCUUCAUACCUGCCAUCUCUAAUACUUUCAAGUGAGAAUAACAAACUAAAUAUUUGAUACUUCCAAGAUUCAUUAGUGAAGGAGAUCUUAAUUAAAAUCUGUACAAAAUAUUUCAACAGAAAAAUGUCAACAUUUUCAUUUGUCUCUCUUGAAUUGAUUGUGCUCACAUACAGGAAAUGUCAGAAUUUCUCAAUAUAAAUGUAUAAAUAUUGACAACUUUCAGGGUUCUUUUGCACUGUACACCUAAAAAAGGUGAAUGUCAGUGACUUCAUGAGUCUUGAGCAAGACUAGAGGGACUUUCUCAUCUCUGAUGUGUAACUUCGCAAAGCUGUAAUUUUUACAAAAUUUGUCAGAUGGAUAAUAUUUUUUCAUAAACUGAAGUAUGUUAAAGAAUGACAGGCCUUUCAUAUUUUAUGAUACCUUAAUGAUAACUGCACUGAGCGCUGAAUAAGGAUAGCAUUAAUAAAUACUUAUCCAUCACUAUUAUUAGGAAACACUUUUGCAAAAUAAAUAUGUAUGUCUAAUUAGCACUUUGAAAAUUGAUGAAUGUAUGUAAUGUUGAAACAGAAUGAUUAUUUCUUUCCAUAAGAUUAUGAAUAUUUACUUACACGUAGAAAGAAGAAACUACUUAUAGAUCAAAGAUGAGCUAGCAACUCUCACAGAAAAACUGUCAGAUUUACAAUUUUUUUGGCAUUUAAUAUAUAUUUUUUUUUCCUGAAGACAUUCUUUUAAGUCAGAAUUUUGUAAAAAAUUUUCUGACCUUGUGACUGAAGAGCAGAGCCUGAACAUCACAAGCUUUGGAUAUACCUUACAGAUUCAAAAUUGAAGUGAAGGCAAAGUAUCUUUCAUUUAUUUGGUCUUUAUCAUUCUAAAGUUAUCCUUUCUGGCUGGCAUUAACACAGCAUAUUCAUGUCCCCUAAGGCAAAACUACCAACAAUGACAAUUUGUCUGGCUGCAUGGCUUCAAUUUUGAAUCUGUAUAUCUACAGUCAGAAUUUGAAGUAGACUAAGAGCCUGCUUCAGAAUUUAGGGGGAAUAAGGCUCAUGGGUGAACACUGCAGGCCAUUUAGAGUACCAGGUCCAGAAAGUAGGUUCAGAUGUUCUGGAUAUGAACAGAUGAGUAGAUGGGGUAGCAAGAACAAGAGCCUUGCAUUUUGCCUUUGCUACCCAGCAGACCUGGAUGUGCUGAGCAGGUUCUGAUAAUGUGUUGGUGGGAUCUCAUAGUCUAAUAAUCUUUAAAAAGAAUAAUCUCUUUAAAGAAAUUUUUUCUUCUAUGCAUGAAACUGUAGCUUUCUGGAUAUGGUGCAGGCAGCCACAGUGGGAGAAGAGGCUGAUAUAUAUUCAUUUUAUUAUUCAAAUUCACACAGUUUGUGCUUUGUUUUUAAGAUAUGUCAUGUUUUAUCUCAUGUCUUUAAGACACAUUUGUUAGUGAGAUAUUAUGUAAAAGAAAAAUUUGAAAUUCAGUCAAAGUGAAAGGUGCUUUGGAAAGCUAUGCUGACACGCAUAGCAGGCAUGUUUAGAAAUGAUUCUAAUUUGAAUAGAUUGUCUAGAUAUUGCAUCAAUAAAAGUAACACUAAGGAGACAGAAUGAUGAUACUUUGUCAAGCUUCAGGAAAAAAAAAUGCAAUCAAACUGUUUCCCAAGACUAUCAAUUGUACACAAAGAUAUUAAUUGACCAUAAAACAGUUUUUUUAUUUCCUAAACUCUUGUCUUAACAUUUCCUAAAUUAACUGUACUGAGGAGCUACAAAGUUUGUAGCUCAUUUAUUUUGGGAAAAACAUUUUGUAAAAUGCUACUGAAGUCUGCAUUCUUUAUCACACUCUUAUAAAUGGCCACAUUCAGUGUGACUUCAAAACUGGGGGAGUAUUAUUCCUUGUUCAUGGUCUUUAUUACUCUCUCUCUCUUACAAUCUCUUUCAUUAUAUAUAUGCUCACAUAGAUACUUACACAGGUAUAUAUAUAUGUACAUAAAUAUGUAUGUGUAUGUAUUCAUUUGUGCAAAUAUGUAUAUACCUUCUUCACAUACGUAUCAAAUAUAGGGGAAAUAUUUAAGAAAAAGUCCAGAUAAGAGUAGCAAAUAUAGAGCAAAUACAUCAAAUAAUGAAAGAAGUCAUCUACUAGAUGACAGUGAGUUAGACUACCAACUCAUAGGCGAUGUAUUGUAUGUGAAUCCUUUCAUCUAAUAUUUGUAAGCUCACAGCAGGCUCAUUCUCUAGUCCAUUGCAGAAUGUUUUUAUUUAUUCACAAAGACUCAAAAAAAAAAAAAAAAAAGUAAAAAAAAAGUGUUGUUAGUAUCAAAGGAAAAUAUUGUUAGAUAUGAUUUGUUAUACAGUUCCUCUCACAUGCCAAGCAUUAAGAUCUUUUAAAAGGGUUUGUUACCACACAGAAGAUAUAAGGAACACUUCUUCCUCUAAGAAAAUCAGACUUGAAAAUUUAAGAUUUUACGGUCCAUUAACCUGCUAUUAAAGACAAACGACAGGAUUUCUUUCUGAAAUGAACUUUUCAUUGUACAAGAACUAAAGCUACAGUAACAGAAGAGAGAAAAGAGGAGGAGAAAAAAAAGGCCCAAGCAAUAAAAUGAGGCCCACAAUGUGAUUCUUAUCAAAGUCCAUGCCAUUAAAGAAAUGAAAUUGCAGCAAUACAAAGUUGUAGAUACUGAUUAUGUGUAAUGGUGCAGAACCAGGUUGCAUCAGCAUUGAAUUUCAGGCAGUUCACAUUCCAUUUUACCUGCAUUUCUGGAAAGUUGAGCCAGAGUCAACUCCCAGUAAGGAUGCAGUUGAUCACAGUGUUACAUAAAGUCAAACUGACAGAUAAGAGAAAGCAAAAGGUUCUAGGUCAUGUCUCUGCUGGGUUUUAAUUCAUUCUCAUUAGGAACAAUAAUGGACCGAAGUGCUUGUUAGAUUCUAAAACUGAGAAGCAUAUUUAUGGAAUAUGGUCACAUUGUUUGCUUAGGUAGAAGAAAGUCAAGUAAAAUACUUUUUUAUUAAUUUCAUUAAGAAAUAUCUGUCCAAAAAGAGUUCUUCUAGCGUUAAGUAACAUAUUAUCUAGGGAAGGUGAACAUGGCAUGAUAAGCAUAUAAUCAGGUGUGCUGUCUCUUUUAAUUGGGUUCAUUUCAGAAUGAGCAACAAGCAUUAGGAUGCUUUAAUUCUAUUCAUUUUAGUGAGAGCAAUAAACAUUAGGAGGUCCUUUAGUACCUUUCUCUGAAGAGGCCCACUUGACUAAAUUUGGUAUAAUUUAAACAGGAGUAACUGGAUACAAGAUUUAUUUAACCCUUUGCCUGACAAACUGUUCAUUUUAAAGUUAUCUCCGUAAAAGAAAACACUAAGUGCAUUAACGAAAAUUAGUAUUAGUUGUCAUUCUAGAUGUGAUACCGUAGCACCAAACAUAGCACAGAAGCAAUACCUCCUUUAGGGUUUAAGUUAGCAGUUGCACAGAUCUUAAAAUAUUCUGCAUAUCUAUAGGUCAGAGACAAAAUCACAAGUAGGUGAAAAUUAGUGUCUCCAUAUGUGUUGUACAAUAAGUCAUGACAAAACAGAUUACACAGAGUUUGAUGUUGACACGAUCUAUUUUGAAUAUAUGAAACUAUUCUUCCCAUUUCAUCCUCAGGCAUUUGUGGUGGCUUGACCUUAGCCAGCAGUGAAACACCUGCACGCCCCCUCAUUCAUUAUCCACCCCAGUGGAACAGGAGAAAAUGAGAAGAGUGAAAGGGAGAAAAACUGUGGAAAGAGAUAGAGACAAUUUAAUACGUGAAGGAAAUAGAUUUAAAAAAAAAAGCACAUGGUACCAAGGCAAUCUCUCACUACCCCUCAAAUAGCAUACAAAUGCCCAGAAAAGCUCAGAACAAAUGCUACCUUGGAAAACACCCCACCACCCCCAACUCAGUUUUUAUUGCUGAGCAUGGUGCUACACUAUACAGAAUAGACUUUUGGCCUUUGACCUACAUUUACCCAGUGUAACAUCAUGUUAUGCUGAAUUAUGUUAUUUUAAAGUGUUCUACUGUUGACAGAGAUUUAUUAUGGACACAGUUUAGCUCCUGUUGAAGUUAAUUUUUAAUUUUCAGGGAUUACAGCUGUACCGUGACCUAGUGUGCUACAAUUUAAGAAUAUCUUACUAUUUCUAUUGUCAAAAAUGCCAAACAGCUGUUCUAUCUUUCCAUGUAAUGGAUAUGGUAUUUCAUGUUUAACAUAAUGUACUCAAUAGGUGCCUGGUAGAGUUAAUCUUCUUAAAGUUAAUGAGAAUCUUCUCAUCAGUUUCCCUGGGAUCCGAUUUUAAUCCUGCAUCCUUUUAUUCCUUAUUUUCAGUUCAGAGUGCAGUAAUAUAACUUGGUCAAACAGCCUCUAUCUAUUUUUCUAUCAAUUAAUUCAAUCCAUCUGGCCUUUAUUAACAUAAUACCUCAGCACAUCACAAUAUUACAUGAAUGUUAUUUUUAAAAUGUGGCUGGAGUUCAACUAAGAACAAUAUCCUGCUUCUACUUUUAUACUUUUUUCUCCUAGGUCAGGAAUUUUCAACCCAUUUUACAGGGAUUUGGAAAUGUCUGUAUCCCUGAAAGUGUGUUGGUCUUUUUUUUUUUCUUUCUUUCAUUUAUGUUUGAGCCAUUUUUGUUAAAUAUGCAUAUACUACUUGACUAUAUUCCUCCAAGAAUAAAUCUGUGUUCUCUCUCAUGCUGUGACUGCUGACUCUUAGCUUCUUAUUUCUAGGAAAGCAUGUGAAAUCAUGUUGGUACACAUUAGUAUAUAUAACAUCUCUAAACAAACAUUUUAACUCAAGUGGACUGUGUAUCCUUAGAAAGAAUACAUAUCUCAGUACGCUGUGAUAAACUGUUCAAUAAAAUAAAUUAAUAAUGAAACCCCUCUUUUCAGUCUAGGCUGCUAUUUUGCCAUAGAUUUUAUUGGUCUGAAUUCUUGGCAGAGAAAUUGUCCCACAGGCCACAUAAGGGGUACAUGAUAUAAUUCAGCACAGCAUAACUAUAAAUGACCAGAAUAGAGUCCAAAAUGUCUGCUAAGUUCAAUAUCUUAUUUAUGUUUCAUUCAGAGAUGAGGACACUUUGGAAUUGAUCUAGGCAGAACGUUGGGUUCACACUACAGCUGGAACUAUACAUGUGAGAGAGGGUAUGUGGUGCAGAAGCAUUUUCCAGCAAUUAAUGCACUCAACAUAAUUAUUUCAAUGGAAGUAUAUUUAUUUUUAAAAAUUCUUCAUGUACUCAUAUGUGCUAGACGAUUGUAGGUAUAGAUGUUAUCCAUUUUAUCUUAAUUGUAAAUGUAUUUUUUAUUCAUUAUAGAGUUGAGUGGAAGGUUAACACUACUGAAAGAGUGGUUACUGAGCAGGAGCUUUUGUGUAAAUAAUCUGACUGCUGGACUUCGUUAACAGGUUCUCUCCCUUUUCUUCAGUGCCAUACGUUUCAGAGCAUGAUCUGUUUAUUGCUUAUAAGCGCAUAUAGACAUAUGCAGAAUAUGCACACGUGGCUUGUACAAUACAUAAUUUGAGUUGUUCUAGUUUAUA
rnacentral:lncRNA from 1 species